rnacentral:rRNA from 1 species
UCUUGGUCAUUUAGAGGAAGUAAAAGUCGUAACAAGGUUUCCGUAGGUGAACCUGCGGAAGGAUCAUUAAUAAACCUAGUCGUUCGCGUACAUAGGGGCAACCCUCGCGUGAUGUCAGCAAUACCUAGGUAACCCUUGAAUAAACUACCCUUGUUGCUUUGGCGGGUCGCCUUUCAGGCCAGCGGCUUCGGCUGCUGCGUGCCCGCCAGAGGACCACAACUCUUGUUUUUAGUGAUGUCUGAGUACUAUAUAAUAGUUAAAACUUUCAACAACGGAUCUCUUGGUUCUGGCAUCGAUGAAGAACGCAGCGAAAUGCGAUAAGUAAUGUGAAUUGCAGAAUUCAGUGAAUCAUCGAAUCUUUGAACGCACAUUGCGCCCUUUGGUAUUCCGAAGGGCAUGCCUGUUCGAGCGUCAUUAUAACCACUCAAGCCUUCGCUUGGUAUUGGGGUUCGCGGUUCCGCGGCCUCUAAAAUCAGUGGCGGUGCCUGUCGGCUCUACGCGUAGUAAUACUCCUCGCGUCUGGGCCCGGUAGGUUGCUUGCCAACAACCCCCAAAUUUUUUACAGGUUGACCUCGGAUCAGGUAGGGAUACCCGCAUGAACUUAAGCAUAUCAAUAAGCGGAGGG